UACAGAGGUCCCAAGCGUUGUUCGGAUUCACUGGGCGUAAAGGGUGCGUAGGUGGCAAGGUAAGUUUGAUGUGAAAUCUCCGGGCUUAACCCGGAAACUGCAUUGAAUACUAUCUCGCUCGAGAGUUGGAGGGAGACUGGAAUACUUGGUGUAGCAGUGAAAUGCGUAGAUAUCAAGUGGAACACCAGUGGCGAAGGCGGAUCUCUGGGCCAUUACUGACGCUGAGGAGCGAAAGCGUGGGGAGCGAACAGG
rnacentral:rRNA from 1 species